UGGGAGCCGAACGCCCUAUCACUAUAGGGCGUGACGCACGGCUGAGUAACACGUAGCUAACCUACCCUCGGGACUGGGAUAACUCCGGGAAACUGGAGCUAAACCCGGAUAGGUGAGGAGUCCUGGAACGGUUCCUCACUUAAAGAGAUCUUAGGGGGUUACUGCCUAAGAUCUGCCCGAGGAUGGGGCUACGGCCCAUCAUGGUAGUUGGCGGGGUAAUGGCCCGCCAAGCCUACGACGGGUAGGGGCCCUGGGAGGGGGAGCCCCCAGAUGGACCCUGAGACAAGGGUCCAGGCCCUACGGGGCGCACCAGGCGCGAAACCUCUGCAAUGCGGGAAACCGUGACAGGGUUACCCCAAGUGCUCCCGUUAAGGGAGCUUUUCCUCGCUGUAAGGGGGCGAGGGAAUAAGCGGGGGGCAAGACUGGUGUCAGCCGCCGCGGUAAUACCAGCCCCGCGAGUGGUCAGGACGAUUACUGGGCCUAAAGCGUCCGUAGCCGGCCCUGUAUGUGAUCCGUUAAAUCCAGCGGCUCAACCGCUGGGCUGCGGAUCAUACUAUGGGGCUAGGGGACGGGAGAGGCCGGAGGUACUCCGCGGGUAGGGGUAAAAUCCGCUGAUCCGCGGAAGACUAACAGUGGCGAAGGCGUCCGGCCAGAACG
rnacentral:rRNA from 1 species